rnacentral:misc_RNA from 1 species
GUCAGCUCGAACACAUUUGACUUCCCCUAACUCAGGUUUAACAGGCUUAGUAGUCACAAUGAACCCCAGGGCUUUAUAACCUUCAGGUGGUUGAGGUAACCAAAAGUAACCGGAUCCAUCAAAAUUUUCUUCAGUUCCAUCAUUAGAGCUCCAGACUAACGUGUAAUCAAGGGGAUUCUGAAGCGCAGGCAAACAAGGAUUUCCA